AUGCAUGUAUGUGUGCGUGUGUGCAUGCAUGCGCGUAUGUACACGUGCACAUGUAUGUAUG
rnacentral:miRNA from 1 species